GCGUAAUUCGGAUGCAAGGUAAGUGUAAUUUACACACUUAUGUAGAAUACUCGUUUAUUCAAUACGUUGUAAACGGAUAACGAUUGUUUUGGAAAUAUGGAUUUUUGUUAAGAUUAUCUUGUAGAGUAAUCUAAUAAUGGGGGAAAAGGACAAAAACGGAAAUUGGUCAAAUGUCGACUAGUGUAAAUAAAGGUUAAAAGGAUACUCAUAGCGUAAGCCGAAAUGGGUUGAAUUUUGUAAGAAAAGAGUUUAAAGAAAAAGGGUAUGUUAAUAAAAUCCGGGAUGAAUGGACGUAUAAAUUGGAAAUCAAAAACGAUGUUUUGAUUAAAUAGAUGACGUUGGGCGUGUAGUCCAAACGGGUCGAAUGGUGUUGAUAACACCAUUUGACAAUAUCGACUAAUAUGGUUGUCAAGUCUUAUGCUAACAGGACCGAUUAGCAAAAUCGGAUGAUUUCGUCACUAUUGAUUGUGUGAUAAUGAAAACAAGGUAUGAAUCGGGUCUACUUGUUGAUCCGGGACAGGUAUGAUUUUAGCACCGGAGGAUGAUCAAGCACAACGAAGAACCGAACACGAUCAAGAAAUAAGCUUCCGCACUAUGUAUCGUUGUUUUGUUAAAUGACGAACUCAAACAUGUUAUCUUGUAUAGUUUUAAUUCUGUAAAUAAAGUUUAAUGAAACCCGUAUUUUCAAUGUAUUGAAAUU
rnacentral:lncRNA from 1 species